CUUAAAGCCAUGAUCACAUUACGUGAUCUUGAAGGUGUUGUGGUUUUCACACUACGUGACUGAUCAGCAGCAGCGGGUCACACACUGAUGUCGAUGCUGUUAGUUAUAAAUUUGAAAAAUGGUUAAAUAAUGUGUGUAUUGAUGACAUGAUUACAACAUUAAACAUGUUGUGAUGUUAUUAAUGGUGUUAUAAAUGACUCCUGAUGAAACAUAGUUUGGACCAGUCAGACUGGUUGUGGAAGUUGUAUGUGAGCCCAUGUUAUUGAUCAGUCACGUAGUAUGAAAACCACAAUGAAGCCUGGCUGUGCUGACAAGAAACACGAACUUCCUGUUUCUCAGCAUCAGAAUAAAACAGAAGCAAGAAAACGUUUUUUAUAUCAGUGAAAAUACCUUUCUGCUUAUGAGAAGUUGCUCAGUGUGUGAAUCAGGAGACAAGGGUUGUUAACGAAAUAGUCAGUUCACAGCUCUAGAGAAGUUCCUCAACUGAUAGUUUGACAUCCUGUGAACUUGCUAAAAGUUAAACAUGGCUACAUUUGAGCGAAUCGAAAAAUUGCUGAAACAUUACCUGGAUGAGCUGGAUGAGGAACAGCUGAAGACGUUUCAGUGGUACUUGGGCCAUAAUAGAAGAGAUGGAAGGAGACCCAUCCCAAAGGCCCAGCUGACCAGAGAACAAACUGUGGAUAAACUGGUGGAAGUUUAUGGGGAAGAAGACGCUGUGGUGACGACAGUGGACAUUUUCUUUAGGAUGAAUCUUAAUGACCUUGCAAUUAAGUUAAUCCAAGGUAAUGGUUAAAUAAAAGGAAAAUCAAGUACGUUAAAUGCACAACAUUCAUGAAUAAGAGAAAACAUAAUAAUGUCACAUGUGAAAAUUAAAAAAGUGUUAAAUAUAA